rnacentral:rRNA from 1 species
AGAGAACUUAGCAGAGAUGCUUGGUGCCUUCGGGAACUCUGAGACAGGUGCUGCAUGGCUGUCGUCAGCUCGUGUUGUGAAAUGUUGGGUUAAGUCCCGCAACGAGCGCAACCCUUAUCCUUUGUUGCCAGCGGCUCGGCCGGGAACUCAAAGGAGACUGCCGGUGAUAAACCGGAGGAAGGUGGGGAUGACGUCAAGUCAUCAUGGCCCUUACGGCCAGGGCUACACACGUGCUACAAUGGCGCAUACAAAGAGAAGCGACCUCGCGAGAGCAAGCGGACCUCAUAAAGUGCGUCGUAGUCCGGAUUGGAGUCUGCAACUCGACUCCAUGAAGUCGGAAUCGCUAGUAAUCGUAGAUCAGAAUGCUACGGUGAAUACGUUCCCGGGCCUUGUACACACCGCCCGUCACACCAUGGGAGUGGGUUGCAAAAGAAGUAGGUAGCUUAACCUUCGGGAGGGCGCUUACCACUUUGUGAUUCAUGACUGGGGUGAAGUCGUAACAAGGUAGGCGUAGCGAG